CCCCAAUGUAUUGUGGUUUCUUCCCCAAAUCUUUUUCUCGUUUGAAUUUCCUUAUGCCUUUCAGUGACACCUUCUAGCUUAAUAUCUGGCCAGAAAGUGAGUAUAAGCAUUGGCAGAAGAGAGGAUGACAUGGUCUGUUUUUGCUCUGUCCUCCCCACUCCCAUCCUUGGCAGGGUAUUGGCAAUAGUAGUGUUGUUGUUUGGGAAGUGACCCUGUCCUCAUUGUAGACAAUUUCCUCCAAUUCUGUGGCCACAUGAGGUGGGAAUCAGAGAGGAUCAAGGAGGAGAGGCUGUUCUCUCUUGCCCAAAACACUGCCCCUGGAGCAGUGGGUCGCACAAGGCCUCCUUGUUCAUCAGGAAGGUGGCUGUGGCUUAGUUGCUCCAGCCUAUAGGACAGGGAACUGGGUUGGUGGAAGAUCUCCAGUGCUUCAGGUCCAACAAGUAGGAGCCACAUGAGGGAAGGAGCCUUUUAUGGUGUUUGCCCAGCCUGCUGGGCUCUUGGCUCCAGACCCUGUUUGGAAACAGCCCAAGGUAAAAGAAGGAGGUAAUACGACUUGGAGUGCCCAUUAAGGUCACAGAACAUCAGCACUUCCUAAACCUGACUCCUAGUCCAGAGACUUUAGGAAACAAGCUCAAAGGAAGAGGAGAGGUGGGCUUGAGUGCUGGGUGAUAUUUGUGGGGACCGAGGGCAUGGGUAACAAGGAGGUCCUCCCCAGCAGCCUGCAGGCAGGAGUGAGAACAGGUGGUGUGACUUUGUUUCACCUAAGAGGGGGGAAGAGGCAAGGCAUGAAUCAUGCCCUUUUUGAUUUUUGUUUGAUCCUUCUUACCCUCUCAAUUUUCACGUUAUCCCUGCCUGUUGUCAGGUUGGGAGGUGAUUGUAGACUUUGCUACCACAAAGUUUGUAAAGCAUGCAGGGGGCCAGGCACUGUGUUCAACAGUGGAGAUUGUCCUCGAGUUGAAGGCUUGGGCUUGGUCUGAGCUUGAUCUGAUACCAAUCAAUAAUGUGGCUUCUUUCUGGAAAAUCUAACAAUGUACUCUGUCCUUAGGAGGCUCAAGAGUAACAGGGGAGAUGACAUACUUUUCAUAAAAUCUUGAGAUAUAAGUGGAACCAAAUUUCAGAAGUGACAGGAGUUCACCAUGGAGUCAGAGUAGCUCAAGGGUCUCUGGGUCAGUGCAACUUGGGCUGGGACUUGCUGGUGGGGUAGGUUUGGGUUGGUGGAGGGCAGAUGAGAGGGCCAUGCAGAGAAGGAGCAUGGAGCUAGUUGGGGGGAUCUUUGAUGGCAGGGGCUGGCUUUUGUUCUUUUUGUGUUCCUGAACUUACAUAGGGCCUGGCACUUGGGGAGUACUCUAAAUGUUUGUUGAAUGGAAUGAUGUUUUUGUAACACUUUAACUAGGCCUGAUGUGUUAGAAAGCAUGAGGAAGUGCAUUCCUUUAACAGAAAGAAGAUUUUACUGGUAAAUGAUCACGCAUACACAUGGAACCUGAUGGAGGUGCUUUACUUGUCCCAUUUGAGUUGCCAUCAGUCCCCUCCGGGGCUGCUCAGGACCAGGGAGCUCCUCCUCAGACUUUCUCCAGGUGCUGCAGUCUGUUUACUCCUCUGCUCUCCCCAGGUCCCUGCUCCCAGUCUGUUUCCUUUGUCUGGUUUUCCCCUCCAUGGGCUUGGGGUGGGGUGUCGGGUUCUGUGUAUCAUGGGUGGGGACUUUGGGUCUCUCAGGUCCAUUGAUAUAAUACAGCUCCAAGACAAACAGACUUUUCUCUUGUUAAUAUUGACAAAUACUUAGAGCCCAUUUCCAGAACAUUAUUUGUGCCAGCACAGUCUCUCUGAAUUACAAGGACUCUCCAUCCAGGAAGGAGGGUGGCCAUGAGGAAGACCUUGGGAAGAUGGAACGUGCCGUUGGAGCUUGGCCCAGAUGUUGCUCUUAAAGGAUAGAACAAUCCUGGACAAAGACCAGGCCAAGGCGUAUAUUCCAGAGAGGUGUUUUUUUUUAAAAAAAGAAAAAAAGACGGAAAAAAGGAAUAUCCUCCUCCUUUAUGCCAUUAUCAUCAUCCUUCAAUUCCCUGCUGAAAUGUUACAGUCUUCCUAUGGAACGCUGUGGAAGAAAUAGUCUCUCACUACGUCAAACAUCUCAACUUUUAGACCCCCUCAUGACUUGAACUGAAACAUUGGCUCCCCUGGGUCUUGAGCCUGCUGUCCUUCAGACGGAAACUACACCAUUGGCUCUCCUUGGUCUCUAGCUUUCUGACUCACCCUGCAGAUUGGGAAUUGUCAGCCUCUAUAAUCACAUGAGCCAAUUCCUUCUCCUCUAAAAACAACAUCAAAUAAGCACUCCCGCUGAGGUAGCAAUGGAGAUUCUACUGCUGAUACAAGAAGAGAGAAAGAGGGCAACCAUUUGCAUGUCUCCAUUGAAUCUUUGUAAAGAAUCUGAGGCCCAGAGACAUUACAAAUAGCUUGCCUGAAGUCUCACAGUGGGGAUUCAGGAGCAGGAACUCCAGCACAGGUGGUCUGGCUCUGGAACACAUGCUCUUGGGUAACAUGGCCUCUCAUAAGUCAUCCGGAGAGUGUGUGGAAGCUCUGCUGCUGCCCAUCUGUGUGACUUUAUACCACUGGGCUGCCCUUGUGCCUGGGACACUCUUCCUUAAAGACUCUGGUCAAGGGAGGACGCUCCUGUGACAUCUUCUGACUCCUUCUGCAUACCCCCUGGGCAAUCACUUUAUGUUUUUUUUUUUUUUUAACUGUGUAGUGUUUAUUUGUUGGAAUAUCUGACUCCUUGUCUUAGAAGCUUCUGGAGAGCAAGGACUUUUUUUCCUGGAAAAUUUCAAACAUGUGCAAAAGUUAAGCUAAUCAUAUAAUGAAUCUACGUGUACUCAUCUCAUAGCUUCAGCAAUUACUUCAUGGCCAAUCUUGUUUCAGCUAUACCCUCAUCUCCAAACCUGGAGUAUCUUGAAGCAAAUCCCAGACAUCAAAUCAUUUUGUCGAUAAAUAUUUCAGUUGUAUUACUAAAAUGUCGGGACUCUUUAAAGAACAUAGCCACAACACCAUUAUCACACUAAAAUUAAUACUUCCUCACUACCAUGAAAUAUUCAGUGUUCAAAUUUCUGCAAUUAUCUCAUACUUUUUCUCCUUCCCUUCCCAUUUUUCUUUAUUCUUUUAUUUCUUUCUUUGUUGUCUCCCACCCCCCUUUUUUUUGCAGUAGAGUUUUUCAAAUAAAGAUCCAAAUAAGGGCUUUACUUUUUAAUCUGCAUUUUCUCCUCAGCACCUGGCUUAGUGCUUGACAUAUAGUGAAUUCUUACUAAUGUGUGUUGAAUGAAUGAAUCUUCAGGAAUCUAUAAAAUCUCCUGGUUGGAUUGUGUGGCCUGUCAUUUGUGGUUGGUUUCUUGGGAUGGCUUUGGGUUUCUGACAGCUUUAGUUAGGGAUUAACAGGGAUGCUGGCUACCAUCAGUGCCUGUGAACAUUGCUAAAGGUUGGUGGGCAAUGAGUGUAUCUGUGACUCAGACACUCACAGGCUAGAAGGACGUAGGCCCUUACUUUCUUGUCUCUCUUUUUUGUCGUUAGUCUCUUGUCAUCUCACUUUGAGUUUGGACUGACCAUGUCUGGCUUUUUUGCUGUUUCUUCAGAACAGGGACCCUGAAGGAGCUCCUUGAGAGCAUGAACAGCUUCAUAUGGCGCUGUGGUAGGCAGAGUUCUGAGAUGCUACCCCAAGAUUUACCUCUAAUCCCAGACUGUGAAUAUUAUGGGAUAUCAUGCCUGCGAUUAUGUUACGUUGUGUGGUAAAAGGGAUUUUGCAGAUGUAACUAGGGUUACUAAGCAGUUGACUUUGAGUUUAACAAAAAGAGAGAUUAUCUGAGUGGGAUUAAUCUAAUCACAUAGGCCAUUUAAAAGCAGGCAGUUUUUUCUAGUUCAUCUCAGAAAGGAAAUCAGAGAGACUAGAAGUAUGAGAGGGAUUCAAUUUAGGGGAUGCUCUCCAUUGCUGAGAUGGAGGGGGCCUUGUGGCUAGGACCUGAGAACGUCCUCUAGUAGCUGAGAGCGGUACCUAGCAGAGCAAUGGGGACCUCAGUCUAAUAACUUCAAGGAACUGAAUUCUCUGAGCUAAGAGAUGGGUGUCGUUUUAAUCCAAUAAAUUUGUGCUAAUUUGUUUUACAAAAAUAGAAAAUACAGGUGCUUUGUACCUGAUGGAUUGAAUUAGCUGCUCCUUUGUUUAUUUUAUUUUUGAAAAUUCAGAGAAAAUUAAAAUACAUUGAACUGCCUGCAGAUCUUAAGUCCACAAUUUGGCUUUUGGUAAAUGUGUCCACCCACGUAAUCACCACCUGCAUUGAGAUAGAGAACAUUUCCAUCAGCCCAAAAAGCUGCCUUGUGCACGUUUGCUGUUACUUCCACCUGCUGUGGUGAAUUCUAACACCAUUAAUUACUAUUGCCUAUUCUUGAGCUUCAUGUAAAUGGCAUCGUAUUGUACGUGCUCCUUUGUGUCUGGCUUCUUUUGCACAGCAUACUGUUUUAGAGAGUAAUCCAUCUUGUUUUAGCAGUAAUUUGUGCCCUUUUUAUUGCUAAUUAGUAUUGCACUGUAUAGAUAUGCCACCAUGUGUUUAUCCAUUCAUAUCUUGGGGGAUAUUUGGGUUGUUUCCCAAAUAAACAAUAUAAUAAAAA